rnacentral:rRNA from 1 species
GCAGAGAACUUUCCAGAGAUGGAUUGGUGGCCUUCGGGAACUCUGACACAGGUGCUGCAUGGCUGUCGUCAGCCCGUGUCGUGAGAUGUUGGGUUAAGUCCGUAACGAGCGCAACCCUUGUCCUUAGUUACCAGCACGUUAUGGUGGGCACUCUAAGGAGACUGCCGGUGACAAACCGGAGGAAGGUGGGGAUGACGUCAAGUCAUCAUGGCCCUUACGGCCUGGGCUACACACGUGCUACAAUGGUCGGUACAAAGGGUUGCCAAGCCGCGAGGUGGAGCUAAUCCCAUAAAACCGAUCGUAGUCCGGAUCGCAGUCUGCAACUCGACUGCGUGAAGUCGGAAUCGCUAGUAAUCGUGAAUCAGAAUGUCACGGUGAAUACGUUCCCGGGCCUU